UGUCUGCCUUUCUACCACCA
rnacentral:misc_RNA from 1 species